GAAUUUUGGACCAUGGGGGCAACCCUGAUCCAGCCAUCCCGCGUGUGCGAUGAAGGCCUUCGGGUUGUAAAGCACUUUUGGCAGGGCAGAAAAGGCUCUGGCUAAUUCCUGGAGCUGCUGACGGUACCUGCAGAAAAAGCACCGGCUACAUACGUGCCCGCAGCCGCGGUAAGACGUAGGGUGCAAGCGUGAAUCGGAAUUACUGGGCGUAAAGCGUGCGCAGGCGGUUCGGCAAGAAGGAUGUGAAAUCCCAGGGCUUAACCUUGGAACUGCAUUCUUAACUGCCGGGCUAGAGUAUGUCAGAGGGGGGUAGAAUUCCGCGUGUAGCAGUGAAAUGCGUAGAGAUGCGGAGGAAUACCGAUGGCGAAGGCAGCCCCCUGGGAUAAUACUGACGCUCAUGCACGAAAGCGUGGGGAGCAAAC
rnacentral:rRNA from 1 species